rnacentral:rRNA from 1 species
UGCAGAAUCCCGUGAACCAUCGAGUUUUUGAACGCAAGUUGCGCCCGAGGCCUUCUGGUUGAGGGCACGUCUGCCUGGGCGUCACGC